GAUGAACGCUGGCGGCGUGCCUAAUACAUGCAAGUCGAGCGAACAGACGAGGAGCUUGCUCCUCUGACGUUAGCGGCGGACGGGUGAGUAACACGUGGAUAACCUACCUAUAAGACUGGGAUAACUUCGGGAAACCGGAGCUAAUACCGGAUAAUAUAUUGAACCGCAUGGUUCAAUAGUGAAAGACGGUUUUGCUGUCACUUAUAGAUGGAUCCGCGCCGCAUUAGCUAGUUGGUAAGGUAACGGCUUACCAAGGCAACGAUGCGUAGCCGAACUGAGAGGGUGAUCGGCCACACUGGAACUGAGACACGGUCCAGACUCCUACGGGAGGCAGCAGUAGGGAAUCUUCCGCAAUGGGCGGAAGCCUGACGGAGCAACGCCGCGUGAGUGAUGAAGGUCUUCGGAUCGUAAAACUCUGUUAUUAGGGAAGAACAAAUGUGUAAGUAACUAUGCACGUCUUGACGGUACCUAAUCAGAAAGCCACGGCUAACUACGUG
rnacentral:rRNA from 1 species